GGGCUCAGCUCGGCAGCACACACACUAAGACUGAAAGGAUGCAGAGAUUAGCAUGGCCCCUGAGCAAGGACGAUACGCAGAUUCAUGAAGUGUUCCCCAUUUUU